GUCCUAAUGACAAUAGUCAAGUGGAAGUUGACGACCAGGAAGACUUUCAUCGGCUGAGAAACAUGUCUGUCCCGAAGCAGAAAGAGCUUGUAACCGAACAGGCUAUUUAUGAUGCCGGUCUUAGUUCGAUUCCUCGCCUAGGUAUAGUCCAGUAAAACUGAUCGGUUAUUCUUGAUUUUUUUCUUGUUUGCUAACUUGCACUGACCUCCAUUGUAAUUACGGCACUUGCACUGACCUCUUUUGUAAUUACGGCUAUGCAGCAAAGAGUACGUG
rnacentral:lncRNA from 1 species